AACGAACGCUGGCGGCAUGCCUAACACAUGCAAGUCGAACGGGAUCCUGGCUUCGGUCAGGUGAGAGUGGCGGACGGGUGAGUAACGCGUGGGAACCUGCCCAGUGGUGGGGGAUAACUGCGGGAAACUGCAGCUAAUACCGCAUGAGCCCGAGAGGGGAAAGAUUUAUCGCCAUUGGAGGGGCCCGCGUUCGAUUAGGUAGUUGGUGAGGUAACGGCUCACCAAGCCGACGAUCGAUAGCUGGUCUGAGAGGAUGAUCAGCCACACUGGGACUGAGAUACGGCCCAGACACCUACGGGAGGCAGCAGUGGGGAAUAUUGGACAAUAGGGGGCGGAACCCUACGAUCCACGCAAUAGCCG
rnacentral:rRNA from 1 species